UGAAUGGAAGUAAAAGAAGUUGCAGUGAAGCUCAAGCUCGUUGGGAACAACUGUCCCUAGUAAAGUGAAAUAUAGGUUGUCGGCUAAUAGUUUGGAACACAAAGCAAAUUAUUGGUAAUAACUUCAAAUUUUGUAUAAAAUUUUUAAGUUGGUAUUGGUGAUGGUGAGGGAAGGAAUUCUGAAGGUUGAGAGAGGUGGUAUAACUUGAAAAAGUAUAUGCUUUGAGAUCUAAAAAAAAUAAUGUCAUUUUUGUCAUGCAGGCAGUCCCCGGAUUAAGAAGGAGCUCCGUUCCUAAAUCUGUCUUUACGUUGAAUUUGUACAUAAGCCGGAACAGUUAGGUCUUUGUUGUAAGAGGGAUCCCGGAAGCAUCAGACUACUCCACCAUCUUGGCCCCGCCUCACCCCAGAGCAACCUUAGAAAUUGUUUCAGAGAUGGCAAGACAGUUGUCAGCCUGGGUCCCUGGAUCACUGCAUUGAGGAGGCCCACCUCAGUGACAGACCUUUCACCUGUCCAGUAUGUGUACAGGAGCUAGGAGUAAACUUUUAUUUUGAGCUUGAGCCAUUAUCUGUGUUUGGGUCUAUUUCUUAAGCACUUAGCCAACUUUAACAAAUACACUCGAGCAGUGACUUAGUAAUUGAAGUCGUGGGUCUGUUGGCCUAAUGCAUUCAUUCCUUUUUUUGUCUCUGGCAGUUGGUGAUUGAUUGAUCAUGGUCCAGCAUGCAGAAGUGAGUGAGUGGUGAAAAGCAGGAGAGCUGAUGGAUUGUGAAGAUGUGUUUGAAGGCUGUCACACUGUCUACUUCAGGGUAAGGCAAAGGCAGUGGCUGCCACUGUUACUCUGACUUUGCCAGGUCAUAGGGACUCUUGUCUCUCCAGCCUCUUGGAGUUAGUGCAAUGGGAUACCCUGCCUGUGAAAGGUUCCCAAAGCCUCUGUUGAUUCAACUCAUAGACACCAUGCUUAUGAAUAAUUGUGAAGAGAAAACCAUUAGGUUUUGGGUGAUAGGAUGGAAUUCGUUAUGUGGGUGGAAAUAUCUCAGGCAUCAUUAGGGAUUUAUUGACAUGAGACAUGAUUUUCCUAGAACCAGGGAAGGGUUGUUGGGCCUUCCUGAGGUGUGUUGUCGAGAAUGGAACCAGGUCUGAUUGCCUUUUUCAUGUACCAUAUCAGGUUGUUAGCUCUGCCAGCUCACAUUCCCUCAACCACCAUCCUCCUUCUCCGUGGAUCACUUUCCUUAGCUGUUCUUUUGUUAAUUACUUUUUCUAUAAAGGAAACAGCUUGCCAAAGAGUUGAGGAUUCCAGGUUUGGUGGAUAAUAGCAUUAGCAAAGCACGUGGUUCUGCCAGUUCCACUUUAUCCUUCAUCAGUGGCAGUCACAUGUCCAUUUACUCAUCUAUUUACAGUUCCUAGUGAAUCAGGCAAGGAGCCCUGGUGGCGCAAAGAUUAAGCACUUGGCUGCUAACCAUAAGGUUGGCAGUUCAAACCCACACACCAGCUGGGAGAAAGACCUGGGAAUCUGAUGGCACCUAACAACAGUGAAUCAGGCAUUGGCAUUGGGAGCAUUAUGACCAAGGCUGCCUUUGAGCUCUCAUUCGUGCUGAAGAGUUUUGAGGCCAGAAGGACAAAGUCACUGUUUGGCGUACCCUUCUGAGAGUCCAGGUGGAAGUCUUGGAAGAAGGAGUAGAAAAGAUACCACAUCUCUUUUUGAGCUCUCCAGCUUCUGCAGCUUGAACUGAAAGUAGACUCCUUGAAGAGAAAAUUACAACUAAUAGAAAUCUAGGCAGAGCCAAGGAUGGUUAGGAAAGAGGGACAGGGAGUGAAAAAUUAAAAAAGAAAAAUUGUAUUCAGCUUAAAAACUGGUUGGAGUGUUGUUUUCAGCUUACGAUAGUAAUUUGGAGCCCUUAGUAGAUAAUGUCCCAUUGCCCAGCCUCAGACAGAGGGCAGCCAGAAAGGCUGAUGUCCUUAGAUGCCUCACAUGGCUUGGUAAUGAAUGUAAUUUAC